UACGGAGGGUGCAAGCGUUAUCCGGAUUCACUGGGUUUAAAGGGUGCGUAGGCGGCUUGGUAAGUCAGUGGUGAAAUCUUCAAGCUUAACUUGGAAACUGCCGUUGAUACUAUCAAUCUUGAAUAUUGUGGAGGUAAGCGGAAUAUGUCAUGUAGCGGUGAAAUGCUUAGAUAUGACAUAGAACACCGAUAGCGAAGGCAGCUUGCUACACAGUAAUUGACGCUGAGGCACGAAAGCGUGGGGAUCAAACAGG
rnacentral:rRNA from 1 species